AUUGAACGCUGGCGGCAUGCCUUACACAUGCAAGUCGAACGGUAACGCGGGGCAACCUGGCGACGAGUGGCGAACGGGUGAGUAAUGCAUCGGAACGUGCCCAGUAGUGGGGGAUAACUGCUCGAAAGAGCAGCUAAUACCGCAUACGACCUGAGGGUGAAAGCGGGGGAUCGCAAGACCUCGCGCUAUUGGAGCGGCCGAUGUCAGAUUAGGUAGUUGGUGGGGUAAAGGCCCACCAAGCCAACGAUCUGUAGCUGGUCUGAGAGGACGACCAGCCACACUGGGACUGAGACACGGCCCAGACGCCUACGGGAGGCAGCAGUGGGGAAUUUUGGACAAUGGACGCAAGUCUGAUCCAGCCAUGCCGCGUGCGGGAAGAAGGCCUUCGGGUUGUAAACCGCUUUUGUCAGGGAAGAAACGCUCUGGGUUAAUACCUCGGGGUAAUGACGGUACCUGAAGAAUAAGCACCGGCUAACUACGUGCCAGCCGCCGCAGUAAAAC
rnacentral:rRNA from 1 species